rnacentral:lncRNA from 1 species
AUGAUAUCGGCUGUCACGGAGCAAGCCCGUUUCCUUCAUUUCCUUAAAAUUAAGGAACUCCAUAAUGAAGGAGGUUAUCAUCCAGGAGUUAUACCCUGCUUGUUUUUAAACCUGCAAAGGGAAGAUACUGUGAACAAAGCAGUGAAGGCUCUCAGGUUCCUCCCCAGGUGCCAGGAGAGGAGUGGGGCUGUUUUGGAUCACCUGAGCACAGGGCUGGAUGCAACUGGGUUCUCAACAUCUGAAAGGGAUGGCGAAAUAAAUUACACAGAUCCCUGUGCAAGUCUGAUCAAGCUCUCAAAGGUGACUUUUGUUCCACGGAGCCACACCUCAGCCUCUCACCUCACCGGGAGAGAAAACCUCCCAGACGUCUCAGUUUUGCAACCGAGCAGUUGUGCCCUUGUCGUGCUUCCAGCAUUUCCUCACAGCCCGCACUCAGAAACGAGGGCUGCGAGUCCCAGCCUCAGCAGGAACGUCUCCCCCAUCAUUAAAUAAUUGAGCUGCUCCUGCAAUCUGGAGCCCGGCAGCCCGAGACGCUACCUCAUAGCUGCUGGGUCGCUGGCACAGGUUUGACAAAACCCUUCAGGGAUGGCUACUGCAGGGAGGCUCUUUCCUGGCAGGUCCCAGCUUGGUUUGUUGGGUCAGUGGGGAGACAGACAGGGCUCGCCACGCCAGGCCCGUGCCAAGCCACGCUGGCCAAAAUUGGCUGAGCCCUGGCUGUACCUUCCAGAAGUACUGAAGAAGGGGUUUUGGUCCUUGGUUGAGGAAAGGAAGGAAAUUUAGGUAUCAGAGUCCUUGGGAGAUGCUGUUUUGCUGCCCUCUAGGCAAAGAUUAAAGCUUGAAAUGUGGAAACUACAGAAAAUGCUGUCCUGAGCACACCAAAGCAAAGCAAAGGGUUGGGAAGGUGGAAAGGCUUUUCGUGGGACUUCAUUAAGGUGUGAGUAUGAAAUCUGUAAAAAGAUCUCUGGCCUCAGAUAAGGGAGAUCCAGUGGUGUACAACAAAGAAUUAUCAGUAAAGGCAUCAUAAUUACAAAGUUCUUUUAUAUUAAAAUGAUGUCAUGUAAUAGGUUGAAGAACAAGAAAUAAAUAAGCUGUGCAGAUCUCCUUUAUCUAAAUA